UUGUAUCUGUUCACUGAUGAAAUAUGCAUGGUCAUUAGCACUGUGAUAGAUGUAGCCACUCAUUAGUGAAAUUUGUAUUGACCUUUUUGUAUUUAGAAACUGGACAAGGCCAUGAAAUCUGACAUCUGGCCUUGUUUGGGGCUGAAGGAUCAAAGUCACCUCCCUUGGUUCCUCCUUGAGCCCUGGCCAGGCUUUGGGAGGAACCCAAGAGGAUGAUGAAACCAGAUGUUCCUGCACUAGAAGUGCUGUCAGUUUGUUCAUUCAGCACUGUCAGAGCUGGGCCCUCUCACAGCGAGGCUGGAGCCUCACCUGUGGCUGGAGGCACCUGCAGGAAUUCCCAGUGUCCAGGAGUGGCUCUGCAGCCCUUGGCUGGGACAGCUUCCCCAGCUUCUGUGUGGAUCUGGAGGAUGGUGAAGUCUGAGGGUAAAUGAUGCUGGAUCUUUCUUAAUUACUGCUGCAAUCUUUGGUGGUGAUGGUUGGGUGCAUUGCUGAGCUGCUCCUUUUGUGAUUCUUUGCUGCUUUGAGCUGCAGUAAAUGACACUGAUUCCUUCAGUUGGUGCCUGUGUCUUUGGUGCUGACCCUGCCCACUGGUAAAACAAAACUGGCACAGUCGGGCCAGAUGACAAGAAAAUGUUAUUUUUAAAUGUAAAUGUGAGGAAUCAGUGCCAUCAGAAAUUCCCAGAUGGGAAGCCCUUCCCUGGAGUUGGCUGGCUCUGGAAUGGGCUGAGGUCAGAGCAGAUGUGAGCAGUGGGGCAGUCAGUUAAAAGAAGCUGAACCCCUGGAUGUCUUAAAAUGCAUCCAAAAAUUACAUAUGGAAUAAGGAAAAAAACUUGUGUUUUUGGAAGACAAGGGUGAAUUUUGUUAAUGACACAUUGGAAACAGCACCAACUGAAGGAAAAACUGUUGUUGGAACACUGCCACAUGGAGUGACAGAAGAAGGUUUCAAUCUUGAGCUCAGGUUUUUUUGUGCAAGUGAUAUAAUAAUAAUAAUGAUAUAUAACACAAUUAUCUAUAUUUAUAUCUGUAUUAUUAAAAAUUGAUAAUGUGAAAUAAGGCUGACAAUAAUUUGUCAGCUUUGGCUGCUCACUGUAAACACUAAAUACCCUGGAGAAAAGGACUGGUCAAACCCAAAUGUCAGUGGUAAACUUUGUGAAUUGUGCGUAAUGAAUAAAGGAGGAAGGGAUGAAAUUGGCAUUUUUUUAAUAGGAUUUGUUUAUACUGUGAUGCGGAAUGCUUUGUCUGUUAUUGUGAAAAAUACAGUGAUUAAGACUGCUGGGUUUUUCAUAUUCCAGACAAUCCACAAGGUGCAGCAUUGGUUAAAUGGGUGAAGGGGUUGUUAAAAGAGCAGUUGACAAAAUGAGGAGAUGGGAACCUGUCCCCAUGGAGACCCCAUCUCCCAGAUGUUCUCCAUGCCCUUAACAGUGGCCCACUGGGGAAAUGGAAACCCCUGGCUGUGCAUGGCUGCACCCAAAUUACAUUAACAAACUAAGUUGAUUAUUAGAAGUAGUAAAAAAUGAUGCUGUGAAAAUAUCCAAUAGUACAUCCUGUGAGCUCCAAAAAACACAAAUGGGGUUCUGCAGAACCACAUGGCCUUGGAUUAUCUGCUUGCUGGCCAGGGAGGAACCUGGGCUAUUCUAGGACAGGAAUGUUGCAGGGAUGUCUGUCAGGGCUGGGUUUGAUAUCCAACCAUCAGGAAUCUCCUUGAUAGCAAGAUCAGGAGAAGAGUGGCAGAAAGAAGAAAAUUCUUCCUGGUGGGAUUGGCUCCCAAAUUGGAAGCUGCUGUGAAAUGCAUUUGUGGCAGUCACUGUGAUCAUUGCAGUGUGAGCACUUGGUGUGUUAUGAAUCCAUGUUAGAGUAGUUGUGACACCUUGUGCUGGAAAUGGAGUACUGAGAUUUGUCUAAAAACAGACAUCGUCUCAAGAAAAAGUGGGCUGUAACAAAGAACAUAGAGAAUAACAACUAAUUAGGGCUGUUUUAGUCAGACCCUGCCUAACUGAAGCCUCAACAACAGGCCCUGAGCCAAAGCUGACCUUUAGAUAAACCUUCCAACCAAAUGUUAUAUUUGUAUCUGCUCAUUAAUGAAUCAUUAUUAGCAAUAUGAUUUCUGUAUGUGUUCAUUGGUGAAACACGGAUUUACCUUUCUGUGUUUGGAAACUGGACCAGGCCCCAUCUGGCCUUGUUUGGGGCUGUGGGAUCAAAGUCACCUCCCUUGGUUCCUCCUUGAGCCCUGGCCAGGCUUUGGAAGAAGCCAAACAGGACAAUUAAACCAGUUAUUCCCACACUAGCACUAAUGUCAGCUUCUUUGUUUAACAGUGUAAAAACUGGGCCCUCUCACAGCGAGGUUGGAGCCUCACUGGCUGCAAAGGUGGAGGCACCUGCAGGAAUUCCCAGUGUCCAGGAGUGGCUCUCCAGUCCGUGGCUGUGAAAGGGUUAAAAGCACUGUGCCUAGGCAUACUUGGGCAAGAAUAAGAGACAUUGCACCCAACAAGGAAGCUUGCAAAAAUUCAGCCACAAUCUAAAGACACAGGAUGAAACUUGGCAAGAAAUAGGGAACAAAGCUGGCAGAAAAGAAGAGCAGAGCUUGAUAAAACCAGUGAGGAAAUUGCUGAAACAGCCAACAAGAGACUGCUCAUGCCUAGAGGAGAAAGGUGAAAAGGGCACAGUGAUGAAGACGUCCAGCCUUCAUCAGGAGACCCCCGAGGAAGUCGCGGAGCCUUCCUCAGUGCCACCACCAGUGUGCACUGCACCUGUGCCUCGUGUAUGCUAAUGAUUGUAAUGAGUACUGAGAAAUCGUUUGCAUAACCACACCUUUUCUGAGGAGAAACAUGAAUAUGCAUAGAGUAUAACUGUAUAUUGUAAUCUGCUGUGUGCCUGUGUGCGCUGUCAGGAGGAGAUAUCCCUGCACACCUGGUGUGCUGAAUAAAGUAAAUCCCCUUCCUUGGACUUUGUCUGGGAAGUGUCUCUUGGCCUGGUUUGGGGCCAUUCACAUCCAUGGGGUUCUGUCAAGUCACAGUGGAACCUUGGUGCCCUGUUGUUGCACAGCCUCACAAUGCUCUCCUGCUGCCAUGAGGUCCCUCCCUCGGUGACACACUGCAGCCCUGGUUCCAUGAGGGGCUCUUGGGUUCCAUGGUGCACGCCUUUUUCACAUCUGAGCCUUGCUUCCAUGGGUUCCAUGGACUGACAGCGGCCCUCUGCAUUCCAUGGGGCCCAGCUAGAUCACAGCAGAGCCUGGCUUUCAUCAGGUUCUGAUACCUGUUCUGCCAGCUGAGUGGGGUGAUUUAAAGAACACAGAAACCAAUGGGAAGAAUGGUCUUAUUUUACUGUGAGUGUUAAGGCAAUGCAAAGUUAAAUUAUGCAUUCAAUAAAACUACCUGCUUGGCUUUAUCAACAAGCAAAAAGAAGCAAGGUAAUGCACCUAAUCAUUAUUACUGGAGACAAAGUGUAAUAAAUAGGUGUGAUUCAUGUUGAUACAAUUGAAACAGUAAUCAAUAUUGAUACACUAAUUAAUAUUUGGAAAUAAUAAAACAGUUAAAGGCAUAAUGCCAAGAAAGAAGGGGAGAGGAGGGGUUCCCCCCAGCCUAUCUCCUGCAGAUGUUCAGAACAGGAAGAAGCAAGAGAUAAGUAUUACUAAAUUUAGUUGGAAGAUAGGAAAAUUUGGUGGGACAUCAUGAAAAUGCUAAUUAUAUGAGAUUUAUUGCUUUGAUGCUGGAACAUAAUAUUGGCUUAUAUUAUAUUAGUUUUGGCUUACAUUAUACUAUCUUCCUGCACAUGUGUAUUCCAAAAGGGGAAUCAAAAUACAUCGAGGAAGAGGAGAGGCCUUCAUCAGGGAUGACCUCUAAUGAGUGGUGCGACCACCUAAAAAAUGGUGGAGCAUGCGUGGUAAAGGUGAUGAUGGGGGUGGAGAUACAAGUGUGACAAACCGAAAAUGGGAGGAGAUGGUAAUGACAUACAAUAUAAAAGAGGGAAUUUUGGCUUGGCAAGCUUGUAUGAGAGGUGACGGGGGUCAAGCCCUGAACUCCGUACCCCGCGCUAUCUCGCACGGUUAUUUUUGCUUAUGCGUUAUUAUUAAAACCAAACUGUCCCUUAUUUUAACCAAAUUACAUUGUCAAUAUUUCAAGUGUAUUCAAAUUUAUAUAUUUUAAGCUAUUUAAUUAAAAUUGCCCUUACAUAUAAUUUUGCUUUGUUUUUUUGAUGGGAUAAUUGGGCAAAUAUAACAAUGUGAAGAUCCAUUCAGAGAUCACGGGUUCAGCUGGCCUUUGGCUUUGUCUGCCUCAUUUCACAUGUCCAGUUUCAAGGGCCACUACAAGAGGCACAUGUUUGCCUUGCUACCCAGAAGUGCUCUAGUUAUUCCCAGGAAAACAAACCAAAAAUUGGCUGUCCUGUGCUGUGGUAGAAAUCCCACCACAAUUGUGACUCUGUGAGCAAAGACAACCGGUGCUUUUUGGGGCUGUAACAACGGAGAGUGUGGCAGAGCAGGUUUGAUAUUAUUUUAGAGUUCUGAAAUCAUUGUUCCCAAAACAGUCUUUCUCUCCUAUCUUCUGUCAUCAACUGUGGAACAGAGAAAAUGGAAAGGGGCAGGGGUUUGUUUAAAUUGGUGCUUUCUUUUUAAGUCUUCAAAUAGUGUCAGCUCGAUGCAUGAUACUUUAGAAAUUGGAUUAGUAGCACCUAUUUCAUGCCACCAGAGAGGUGGGAUUGAAGACUUCCAACAACAGAAACACUGGAUGUGCAAGAGCUCAGUUUUCCACCCCUCACACAAGUAACUUGCUAUACUAUUUUCAGCAGCCUCAGCCAGAUCGAUUAAAAUACUGCUCCAAACAACAACAGAAUGAAAAUGUUCCACCAAAUGGGGAAAAAGAAGACAAGUGGCCAGCAGCCCUUUCUGAAGAGCUUGUGUUGAUUUUGCAAAGUCAGAUGCAAACAAGACCUGGGAGGAGCAAAACAGGUUCCAGAGAAGCUGUGGUUGUGUCACCCUUGGAAGUGUUCAAGGCCACGUUGGAUGGGGCUUGGAGCAACCUGAUCUAGUGGAAGGUGUCCUGAGUCUGAGCUCUCACUUCAUUUCUGCUGUGGUUUGGAGCACGUGCUUCCCUCUUUCCUGAUGCCCUGCUCUUCUUUUGGCUCUGGGUGUCACGGACACUAUUAAUGGUGGGUUUUUUCCCCUCCAUCUUCUUCUGUUUCUUCAUGUGGUUUACCUUCAUUUACCUGUUGGAGUGAUGGAUUUUUCUCACCUUUUAUUACUCAGUGCUUUUUCUUCAUUCUCUAAUACCAACUUCUCACUUGCCCUGUGGCUGUUAGGUGCCAGUUAUGGGAGCAUGAAUUCUUUCUCUAGUGCUUGUCUGAGCUUUCACAGGCAGCUGAGAGCUCUUUGGGGUUCACCUUGACUCACUUCAGCGCCUUCCUUGGUGCUGCCUGUGUACUUGAACACUUGAAGGGAAUAAAGUCUCAGUGUGGAGAUGACAGUUGUGAAACGAUGGCCCUUUUGGAGAAGACAAGAAUGCUAUUGUCAAUCUUUUCAAGGAUAAAUGGAGAACCUGGUUUUGGGAGAAACCGGCUCAGCUCAGCGCAGAGGUGGCUGCUGCAGGUGCCCAGGUUUGGAGGGAAGGCUGCAGCUCCUGGGGGUGUGUUGGUGUGGGGCUAUAAGGUUUGUGCUGGGUCCCUGGAGCAGUGGGAACACCCCACAGGGAGAUGCACAUCAGGAAAUGGGUGCAUAAAAGGCCUGAAGUGUGACCAGCUUUGGUGAAGGGUUCCAUAGGAAAUAAUAUUUUUACUGAGAUUUUGGACAAUUUGAGGCUCCUUCUCGUGUCCUUUGCCCGAUGAACAUGCCCCUUUGCAAGAGCCUGGGGAAUGCAGAGCUCACACAAUGAAA